AGCCCCGGCUAACUACGUGCCAGCAGCCGCGGUAAUACGUAGGGGGCAAGCGUUGUCCGGAAUAAUUGGGCGUAAAGGGCGCGUAGGCGGCUCGGUAAGUCUGGAGUGAAAGUCCUGCUUUUAAGGUGGGAAUUGCUUUGGAUACUGUCGGGCUUGAGUGCAGGAGAGGUUAGUGGAAUUCCCAGUGUAGCGGUGAAAUGCGUAGAGAUUGGGAGGAACACCAGUGGCGAAGGCGACUAACUGGACUGUAACUGACGCUGAGGCGCGAAAGUGUGGGGAGCAAACAGGAUUAGAUACCCUGGUAGUCCACACUGUAAACGAUGAAUACUAGGUGUGCGGGGACUGACCCCCUGCGUGCCGCAGUUAACACAAUAAGUAUUCCACCUGGGGAGUACGAUCGCAAGGUUGAAACUCAAAGGAAUUGACGGGGGCCCGCACAAGCGGUGGAUUAUGUGGUUUAAUUCGAAGCAACGCGAAGAACCUUACCAGGGUUUGACAUCCUGCUAACGAAGUAGAGAUACAUUAGGUGCCCUUCGGGGAAAGCAGAGACAGGUGGUGCAUGGUUGUCGUCAGCUCGUGUCGUGAGAUGUUGGGUUAAGUCCCGCAACGAGCGCAACCCCUAUUGUUAGUUGCUACGCAAGAGCACUCUAGCGAGACUGCCGUUGACAAAACGGAGGAAGGUGGGGACGACGUCAAAUCAUCAUGCCCCUUAUGUCCUGGGCUACACACGUAAUACAAUGGCGGUCAACAGAGGGAUGCAAAACCGUAAGGUGGAGCGAACCCCUAAAAGCCGUCCCAGUUCAGAUCGUGGGCUGCAACCCGCCCACGUGAAGUCGGAAUCGCUAGUAAUCGCGGAUCAGCAUGCCGCGGUGAAUACGUUCCCGGGCCUUGUACACACCGCCCGUCACACCAUGAGAGUCGGGAACACCCGAAGUCCGUAGCCUAACCUUUUAGGAGGGCGCGGCCGAAGGUGGGUUCGAUAAUUGGGGUGAAGUCGUAACAAGGUAGCCGUUCGAGAACGAGCGGCUG
rnacentral:rRNA from 1 species